AAUUUUUAAUAACUAUAGGAUCAACCUAUCGAGUGUGGCUCCGAAAGGAAUUAGUCCGUCAAACAAGAGCUCGGCUUACGGCUUACCGUUAUUUCAUAAGCCGAUCGAUCAAUUCAGAAUUGGGACUUCACGCAGGGAGAUAGAUGGCAGGAGGGCAUGGAGAGAGCUACACUUACAAGAGCUUAACUUUGCAUCAGCCAAAGAGGUGGCAUACGGUUACCGGAAAGUGCUUGUGUGCCGUCAUGUGG
rnacentral:misc_RNA from 1 species